rnacentral:lncRNA from 1 species
GUUCCUGCCCAAUGGGAAUAGGGGACGAUCCUCCAUUGAGGGAAAGCCAAACAUUGUCUGAUUCCAGCACCCUAGACGAGGGAAAACAGGUUUUUCUUUGUCUUUUGUAGAGCAGGUCAUGGCUGCCACUGGGUUUGCACCCACCUGAGGUCAGGAUGAAGGUUCCGGAAGCAGAGAGACAGGUCCUGCUGCUACAAUCCUCCCCUGCACUAAAGGGCUUCCUCAAGAAAGGUCUCUGAGUGCAGAAAGGGCUUGAGACAUAAGGAAACCUGUACCUGGUAACAGAAAACAAAUGUGAGAGCUGGGUGUGGUGCACACCUGUAAUCCCAGUACUGGAGCGGCAGAAACAGCAGGAGAAUCCAAAGCUCAAGGGCACCCAUCCAUCACUGCCCACAUAAGGAUAUGGCCAGGAUAGGUUACCGAGAGGGAAGAGAAACAAGGUGGUGCUGCGCUGGGGACCAAGCACAGCGUUGUAUCCUGGGCAAGUGUCCUAACAAGAGCCCUCAGAGUUCAGAAGAGGCAGGGAUCCUCCUAGAACUGGAGUUACGGAGGGUUGUGAGCCACCUGUGGGUCCUAAGGGACAGAGCCUGGGUCCUCCAGAAUCUCUGUGUAGCCUCGGUUGUCCUGGAACUCCAUCUGUAGACCAGGCUGGCAGUGAACCCACAGCAAUCUGCGUGUCUCUGUCUCCCAAGUGCUGGGAUUAAAAGUGUGUGCCACCACUGCCUGGCUCUUUUGUUUUGUUUUGUUUCUGAGGCAGGGUCUCUCUUUGUAGCCCUGCCUGGCCUGGAACAACCCGGACUGGCCUUGACCUCAGAGAGAUCUUCCUGCCCCUGCCUCCUGCUAGGAGUGCUAGCUCAAAAGUGUGUGCCGCCACGCCUGGCCAAAAGCCAAUUCCAGAAAGUCAGUUCUCUCCUUCCACAGAGGUCACUAGAGAUUUAACUCAGGGAGUCAGAC